GCAAGGUUAGCUGAGAUGGAUUAGCAGCUGGUUGAAGCCCAGCGGAGGGUGGUUCGAUACCAUCACCUUGCGCCA
rnacentral:tRNA from 1 species